CAGAUGUAUUGAGAAUAUCUGCUUGUAGAUUUUAUAUCCAAGUAAAAUGUACAUAUAUUUCACAAUAUAAUAGUAUUUCACUUAAUGCUUUAAACUUUAUUAUCCUGGGACGGUGAGCCGCUAAAUUUUACAGCAGUAAAGUACCAGCAAUGCUGGAAAUCGCGAAUAUUGUCAAAUAUAUUCUUCUCCCAAACGUCGCUACACAGCAACAGUUUACUGAGCGUGAAAAUUCGAUUGCGUCUAUACGUUGCGGAGAAUUUGGGAUACAUUCAAAAAUUCGUUCCGACGACGCUCUCGCUCCGAUCCCGGGGAAAUUUUAUGUCCCACUACAAUAUGGUGUCACGUGACAUUUCAAAAGGCUACUUCCACAUAAAUCUCUUUGUACAUUCUGAAACGAAGAUGCGCGCAUCCUACUAAGCAAAUAUGAAAUUGUAAUAAAAAAAAUCGCCAUUAUGUACGAAACGGCACUAUGUAAUCAAACAAUGGAAUUUUAUGUCAAACAUUAAAACACGAAUGAAUAUCGCGGCGAGGAUUCCGUAGUGGAUACAGUUCGCGAGAUACCACGGGAUUAUUAGCCGCGUUGUAGUCGUGCUCCUAAUUGUAUGCGCUAUUAGAGUAAACAGAACCAACCAUCUUUAUAGCUGUGACCUGAUUUGGAUUUUAAUUAUCCAGUAUGGAAUUACGAUGCCAAGUUCGUCGACAAUGAAGAGGACCAGCACCAAUGUAGCGUCAAGGAUAACUCCCGGGAGGUCCCGUGAAUAAAUCAGUCGCCGGCACCUCUGAUCCCUUAAAUAAAGUUCCGGCUCGUGAGACGCACAUUACAUUGUUAUUCGCGAUGUGUCGCAGGUCGUCGGGAAACCUUCAAGGCGAUAGAUACGCACCAAACAUACAUUCUUACACUUGGAUUUACUUGAAUUGAAAUGCUUUUGUUAAAAAAAAUAUAUUUGCAUACAAAAGUUUUAUAACAUGUUCUAAAUAUACGUAUAUAUUUUAUCACCUAAAUCUAUUCUAUUAUUUAUGGAUAAUUGUGGUAAAAAUACUUGACAAACAAUCAAUGGAUGCAGCAUAUAUAAUUUCUAAAUAUAAUUUAAAUUAAUCAUGAUGUGUAGAAUAAUGGACAAAAAUAUAGUAUAAAAUUAAUCUAUAAAUAUUUUAAAUAUAACAUUCAUUAUU